GGAGGGGUCAUGACUCAGUGGCAGAGCAUCUGCUGAGCAUGCAGAAGAUCGCAGGUUUGAUCCCUGGCAUCUCCA
rnacentral:tRNA from 1 species